ACCGAAUUAGCAGGGACUGAUGCAUAUCUGGGAAGCCAGCAUCCUGGGCAGUCGGCAAUGGGGCUUAAUGCUUGUGAGUAAAGUGUCGUCCUAGAAGAAUUACAUCUGUGAAAGCAAUUUCCACCUAGACUGGAUUUUUGUUUACAAGAGACUUCCUUUAAACAAAGGAUACAAUUAAAGUGGAAAGUGUUGUGCAGACUUCACAGGCUAUUUUAUUACAACCUUUCCCCGAGCAACACCCAUGUUCAAGUGCAACACGUUAUCUUAGUAAAAGCAAACAAAAAUCUGAAUUGCCCAAAGAUACUACAGUCGUUAAUGGAUGCCAAAACGAAGUGUUUAGAAAGUCUAUUCAUUUGAAAUAGCUUCCAAAAAUUAUAACUGUAUUAAUAGUAAUGGAGUUGAACUGCAUAUGAAGUUUCAAGAAAAUCUGCUAAUGUAAAAGAAGUUACGUUGAAACCAGAGGACCCUAAGGAUCCCUGAACGUCACAUGAGAAAUUGAAGCUUUCUUGAGUUUCCUGGUUUGGGGCUUCUGUUGACAACAGGCAAAAUACGAAUAUAUCUUGCUAUGUAAGCCUAUAUUAAACAUUUAACGCCUCCCAACAGGUGUGGCCAAAAUGAUCCCAGUGUAACAUACCAAAAAGAAUAGCUUUUUGCCUUGUCCGUAUGGCCAAAAAAAAGUUUGAAGAUAUUUUGCAAACUUUAUACGACACCUCGGGCCUGGCCAGUUUUUACCCCUGGGACAUGAUUUGAACACGCUUUGCAGACAACGACUAUUUGAUGUUACAUAUUUACUUGAAAUAUCAAAGCUCUGGGCCUUGUUGCAGAGAUUUUAAGUCAUUUUGCUGUUAACCAUGUUAAAAAAUGUUUCCCCCUGUGGCGUGGUCAGUUUUGACCACAGGGACAUGAUUGGUACAAACUUUAAAGAGGUCCUCCAGAUGAAGCUACAUACAAAGUAUGAAAGUCUUGAACUUUGCAGUUUCACAGAAACUUUCAGGUACUCCAACUUUCUAGAGAUUCCUCGGGUUAAAUCAACAAAGUUCGGUAGCAACAGUUUCCGGCAUGCGGCUCCAGUUCUGUGGAAUUCUUUGCCAGAAAGCUUCAGAAAAGCAAGUCAUUUUAAUCAAUUUAAG